rnacentral:rRNA from 1 species
GACGAACGCUGGCGGCGUGCUUAACACAUGCAAGUCGAACGGAAAGGCCCAGCUUGCUGGGUACUCGAGUGGCGAACGGGUGAGUAACACGUGGGUGAUCUGCCCUGCACUCUGGGAUAAGCCUGGGAAACUGGGUCUAAUACCGGAUAUGACCAACUGUCGCAUGGUGGUUGGUGGAAAGCUUUUGCGGUGUGGGAUGGGCCCGCGGCCUAUCAGCUUGUUGGUGGGGUAAUGGCCUACCAAGGCGACGACGGGUAGCCGACCUGAGAGGGUGAUCGGCCACACUGGGACUGAGACACGGCCCAGACUCCUACGGGAGGCAGCAGUGGGGAAUAUUGCACAAUGGGCGCAAGCCUGAUGCAGCGACGCCGCGUGAGGGAUGACGGCCUUCGGGUUGUAAACCUCUUUCAGUACCGACGAAGCGCAAGUGACGGUAGGUACAGAAGAAGGACCGGCCAACUACGUGCCAGCCGCCGCGGUAACAC